rnacentral:rRNA from 1 species
ACACGACUACAUUAGAUACCCCUGUAGUCCCAGCCCUAAACGNUGCGCGUUAGGUGUAUCGGUGACCACGAGUCACCGAGGUGCCGAAGGGAAACCGUGAAACGUGCCGCCUGGGAAGUACGGUCGCAAGGCUGAAACUUAAAGGAAUUGGCGGGGAGCACCACAACGGGUGGAGCCUGCGGUUUAAUUGGACUCAACGCCGGGAAGCUCACCGGAUAAGGCAGCGGAAUGAUUGCCGGGCUGAAGACCCUGCAUGACCAGCUG